AAGAGGCUGCCAGAUACAAUGAGGCCCAACGGUUGAGUACGCUGAACCAAGUGCGUACUCCUUUUGAUGACCAGGCUAGCAGCCUCCAGAGUAGUUGGGGGGCUUCUAGUGAUGAUGAUGAUGCUGAUGAUGUUGAGUACCUAGGCGAUGUUGUUCGCCCAGUAGACUGAACUGUUGUCCAGGGGUCCGACGGGAGAUUCGCACGUCCCCGCCCUAGUUCUUCAGGUGCAUCUGAAAGCAGAUUGGAAUAUUUCUGAAUGAAUGGCCGAGUCGAGUCGCUUCAUUGGCGAGACUGUCUUCUAUUGCGGAAAUGAAUCCCCGGGAAAGACAUGCUUUAGAUGUAUACCUUAAUGAUGUUAAAGAUUUAUUCGUCGAAUGGUGGACUUGCGUAAGGCUCAGGUAUAUCGGCUCCAUCAGGGUGUAGUUCAUACUCAAGUACCUGAGACAAGCGUCGUACAACUGUGGGAUCAGAUUUUAGGACUUCAUCGACCAGAAAUUGAAAGUACUCUUUGUCAUUGGCGUUCGCAUAUCGUACUCCUUCAUUGGUGUCAUCUCCUACCUCUGUGUACGUCAAAGUACUCCAGAAUGGAUGAAUGUCAUCCAAAUACAAAGCACCUUGUGAACCGAUGGAUAUAUAUAAAUAACAAGCACACGACAAUCCAUAGGUGUGUUGAAGUACACAACCGCAUUUGUUAAAUACAAAAUCACCCAAAUCUAACAUACGGUUAUGCUCAAGCCGCAGCUGCUCCAAGGCAUAGAUAGAUACGUGGCUAUAUAAAGGUCUAAAGAAAUGUUGUCGCAACGACCUUGCUACAGAAUUCAUGGAUUCCUGUAGCGCUUGUCGGAUCCUGGCUUGCUGGUUUGUAAUCUGUGUGUGUGCCCUUUUGCAGGGUAUCAAAUGAGCUAUUACCGCUACCAAGGUAAUACUUGAAAGACGAGUGUUGACUUUCAACUAUGCUGGUAGUCUAGUUACCCAUGUGUAAACAUUCAUUCGUCCACGCACGCACAAAUUACGUUGACUGGAGGCAUGGAGUAGGUUCUCUUAUAGUGCCCGCCAUGGUGAUCAGGCACUUCGUCGAGCAUCUGUUCCAUCAGAGGCUGAUCCUAAUUACGUUGACUGGUUCAGAGUGUGCUCUCACCCAUACAUCGUCCCCGGCGAAGGACCGAGUGUUGGUUUUGGUCCAGCUGAAAGCAGAUUUGAAUACUUUCUGAAUGAAUGGCCGAGUCGAGUCGCUCCAUUGGCGAGACUGCCUCCUGUUGCGAAAAUGAAUCCCCGGGAAAGACAUGCUUUAGAUGUAUACCUUAAUGAUGUUA